AGCCAUGCUGUGAACAUGAAUUGAUGAGAUCCUUAUAUUGCUCCCAAUAUUGGAAGGUCUCACCCUUUUUUUGUGUAAAAUUCAUGAUUUCUUUCUUUAGGAU